rnacentral:rRNA from 1 species
AUUGAACGCUGGCGGCAGGCCUAACACAUGCAAGUCGAGCGGAUGAAGGGAGCUUGCUCCUGGAUUCAGCGGCGGACGGGUGAGUAAUGCCUAGGAAUCUGCCUGGUAGUGGGGGAUAGCGUCCGGAAACGGGCGCUAAUACCGCAUACGUCCUGAGGGAGAAAGUGGGGAAUCUUCGGACCUCACGCUAUCAGAUGAGCCUAGGUCGGAUUAGCUAGUUGGUGGGGUAAAGGCCUACCAAGGCGACGAUCCGUAACUGGUCUGAGAGGAUGAUCAGUCACACUGGAACUGAGACACGGUCCAGACUCCUACGGGAGGCAGCAGUGGGGAAUAUUGGACAAUGGGCGAAAGCCUGAUCCAGCCAUGCCGCGUGUGUGAAGAAGGUCUUCGGAUUGUAAAGCACUUUAAGUUGGGAGGAAGGGCAGUAAGUUAAUACCUUGCUGUUUUGACGUUACCAACAGAAUAAGCACCGGCUAACUUCGUG